UGGGAGCAUGAUACUCAGUGCAUGAGAGUAUUAUUACUGCACUGACACUUUGUCUCCCUACAUUAACAUGCUUUCUGAAUACCCUGACAUCUUAAGAACUGAUAAACGGGACAGAUACGGAGCAUACAACU